GUUCUCAAGCUCUCGCGAGAACUGUAGUCAGAACGCUCGAAUUAUCGCGAGCUUUGAUUAAAGGAUGAGUGAUGAUUUGAAUAUGAACGACAUCUAGCGGUGAACUAAGUAACGGUCACAUUUAAAGGCCCGUCACAAGGAAAGCUGCCGUCAAAAAACGGGCGGGGCUGUCCUGGCUGUCAUCCGUGUCCUCGCUGUCCUCGGCUCCACCCCCUCCUUCUUCGUCCGACGAGUCGUCCAGAGUCAGAUCCACCACGGCUCCGCCUCCUGACCCGGUGCCGGUGCCGCCGGUUCCUGCCGACGCACCACCUGAUCCAGGCUUGCCAGUCUGGUUUGUGCCGCUGUGUGCUGGGGAGUGGCCGUUCGCCUCAGGAACACCUUGGAUGAGAGGUCACAUUUCAGAAGGAAGAAAACCUUCUUACAUAUAUCCACCACAGGAUAGUCGGGUGUGCGGCUGUUUUCCCGCUCUCUUUCCUUCUCUUUGUCAUCCCUUAUUGGCCUCCACGAGCCGUCAGUCAAAUACUCGAUCUCCUCCACAUCCUCCGGAGUCUCUUUAAGGAUUUCGGACAGCAACCUGAAAUGAGUCACGUUCGGAAGAAGACAGCAUCGAAACACUGCAGGUGGGCGCAGGUGAGCACUCGACAUGGCACUCCAAGUCUCAUCUUUACCAGCUGCAUUGAAAAGACACUUAUUAGAUCCAUAUCUAUAGUUCCACAGCUAAGAGUCCACA